UACGAAGGGGGCUAGCGUUGUUCGGAAUUACUGGGCGUAAAGCGCACGUAGGCGGAUUGAUCAGUUAGGGGUGAAAUCCCGGGGCUCAACCCCGGAACUGCCUCUAAUACUGUCAGUCUAGAGGUCGAGAGAGGUGAGUGGAAUUCCGAGUGUAGAGGUGAAAUUCGUAGAUAUUCGGAGGAACACCAGGGCCGAAGGCGGCUCACGGUUUCGAUACUGACGCUGAGGUGCGAAAGCGUGGGGAGCAAACAGG
rnacentral:misc_RNA from 1 species